GACGAACGCUGGCGGCGUGCUUAACACAUGCAAGUCGAACGGAAAGGCCCUGCUUGUGUGGGGUGCUCGAGUGGCGAACGGGUGAGUAACACGUGAGUAACCUGCCCUUGACUUUGGGAUAACUUCAGGAAACUGGGGCUAAUACCGGAUAGGAGCUCCUGCUGCAUGGUGGGGGUUGGAAAGUUUCGGCGGUUGGGAUGGACUCGCGGCUUAUCGGCUUGUUGGGGGGGUAGUGGCUUACCAAGGCAUUGCAGGGUAGCCGGCCUGGGAGGGUGAACGGGGACAUGGCGCCUGAGGGACGGCGCAGACGCCUACGGUAGGCAGUAGGGGGGAAUAUUGCACAAUCAGCGGACGCCUGAGGCAGCAGCGCCGCGUGCGGGAUGCCGGCCUUCGGGUUGUAAACCGCUUUCGCCUGUGACGAAGCGGGAGUGACGGUAAUGGGUAAAGAAGCACCGGCUAACUACGUG
rnacentral:rRNA from 1 species